rnacentral:tRNA from 1 species
GAUAUGGUAAAGCUCAAAGGUAGAGCGCUUGAUUUUGGAUCAAGAAGUCACAGGUUCGAUUCCUGUCCAUACA